UACAGAGGGUGCGAGCGUUGUCCGGAAUCACUGGGCGUAAAGGGCGCGUAGGUGGCGCCCCAAGUCCGUGGUGAAAGCUCGAUGCUCAACAUCGAGUCGGCCACGGAAACUGGGGGGCUCGAGCACUGUAGAGGCAGAUGGAAUUGCCGGUGUAGUGGUGAAAUGCGUAGAGAUCGGCAGGAACACCCAGGGGGAAACCAGCCGGCUGGGGACGUGCUGACGCUCAGGGGCGAAAGCGUGGGGAGCGAACCGG
rnacentral:rRNA from 1 species